rnacentral:rRNA from 1 species
AGUGAACGCUGGCGGUAGGCCUAACACAUGCAAGUCGAACGGCAGCACAGUAAGAGCUUGCUCUUACGGGUGGCGAGUGGCGGACGGGUGAGGAAUACAUCGGAAUCUACUUUUUCGUGGGGGAUAACGUAGGGAAACUUACGCUAAUACCGCAUACGACCUACGGGUGAAAGCAGGGGAUCUUCGGACCUUGCGCGAUUGAAUUAGCCGAUGUCGGAUUAGCUAGUUGGCGGGGUAAAGGCCCACCAAGGUGACGAUCCGUAGCUGGUCUGAGAGGAUGAUCAGCCACACUGGAACUGAGACACGGUCCAGACUCCUACGGGAGGCAGCAGUGGGGAAUAUUGGACAAUGGGCGCAAGCCUGAUCCAGCCAUACCGCGUGGGUGAAGAAGGCCUUCGGGUUGUAAAGCCCUUUUGUUGGGAAAGAAAAGCAGCAGGUUAAUACCCCGCUGUUCUGACGGUACCCAAAGAAUAAGCACCGGCUAACUUCGUG